ACAAUUCAACUUUUAACAGAACUUCAACUUGACAGCAUUUUAAUUUUAAUUAUCAAUAAUUAUUGUCGAGCAAUGUUACGCUAGACGGUAUUCGUAUCAUUGUUGAAAAAAAUUAUAAAAACGUGAAAAACAAAUCAAACCAAUUUAAUAUAUAAUUUCUCAACUUUAGCCACUACAGAAAUUCACCAUGAUUUUUUACUCUAGUAACCCAGCUCUGUCCCCCUACGACCGCUCCGCCGGCAUCAAGUGUGGUCUUCGUGACGGCAAGCCCAUGGACGGCAAGCAGGACACCUGUAUCGGCAUGAAUGGGUGCUGCUACUGCGGGCCCUGCUGCGGACCUUUCGGAGGACCCUGCUGCUUUUAGAAUAUGGGCCAUUUUAGCGUGACAUGCUGCAGGCUCUUUGAAUAACACUGCUGCUUUUAGAAUAAGGAGGUUUUUAGCGUAGCAUAUACAGCAAUCACCUGUGUCCGCAAUGGCAGUGGCCAUUUCUACGACCCUUGCUGCGGGCUCUUGAGAAGACCCUGCUGCUUUUAGAAUAAGGAGCACUUUAGCGUGGCAUAAAAGGGAAGCGGGGCCCAGGCUUUUAUAACGCCUGAGUGCUGCCUGGGCUGUAUCGGCUCGAAUGGGUACUGUUACUGCAACCUUCACUUGAAAAUGAGCAUUUUAGCGUGGUAUGGAUGGCAUGCUGCAGGCCCUUUGAAGAACCCUAUUUAGAAUUAGAAGCGUUUUUUCUAGGCUGCUUAAUGUUUGUUGCUUUUAGACCGCUGAUGUUUGUUGAUAGUUUUUCUCAAUAUAGUGUUUGAUUUUA